rnacentral:rRNA from 1 species
UACGUAGGGGGCAAGCGUUGUCCGGAAUUAUUGGGCGUAAAGAGCGUGUAGGCGGUUUGGUUAGUCCGCUGUGAAAGUCCAGGGCUCAACCCUGGAAUGCCGGUGGAUACUGCCAAACUAGAGUCCGGAAGAGGCGAGUGGAAUUCCUGGUGUAGCGGUGAAAUGCGCAGAUAUCAGGAGGAACACCAAUGGCGAAGGCAGCUCGCUGGGACGGUACUGACGCUGAGACGCGAAAGCGUGGGGAGCAAACAG